rnacentral:rRNA from 1 species
GAUGAACGCUAGCGGCAGGCUUAACACAUGCAAGUCGAGGGGUAGAAGGAGCUUGCUCCUUUGAGACCGGCGCACGGGUGCGUAACGCGUAUGCAAUCUACCUUUUGCAGAGGGAUAGCCCAGAGAAAUUUGGAUUAAUACCUCAUAGUAUGUGAGGAUGGCAUCAUUUUCACAUUAAAGUCACAACGGCAAAAGAUGAGCAUGCGUCCCAUUAGCUAGUUGGUAAGGUAACGGCUUACCAAGGCUACGAUGGGUAGGGGUCCUGAGAGGGAGAUCCCCCACACUGGUACUGAGACACGGACCAGACUCCUACGGGAGGCAGCAGUGAGGAAUAUUGGACAAUGGCGCAAGCCUGAUCCAGCCAUGCCGCGUGCAGGAUGGCGGGUCCUAUGGAUUGUAAACUGCUUUUGUACAGGAGAAACACUACUUCGUGAAGUAGCUUGACGGUACUGUAAGAANAAA